rnacentral:rRNA from 1 species
AGUUGUUCUCAGUUCGGAUUGUAGUCUGCAACUCGACUACAUGAAGCUGGAAUCGCUAGUAAUCGUAGAUCAGCAUGCUACGGUGAAUACGUUCCCGGGUCUUGUACACACCGCCCGUCACACCACGAGAGUUUGUAACACCCGAAGCCGGUGGAGUAACCUUUUAGGAGCUAGCCGUCGAAGGUGGGACAAAUGAUUGGGGUGAAGUCGUAA